rnacentral:rRNA from 1 species
UGGGGAAUAUUGCGCAAUGGGGGGAACCCUGACGCAGCCAUGCCGCGUGAAUGAAGAAGGCCUUAGGGUUGUAAAGUUCUUUCGGUAUUGAGGAAGGUUGAUGUGUUAAUAGCACAUCAAAUUGACGUUAAAUACAGAAGAAGCACCGGCUAACUCCGUGCCAGCAGCCGCGGUAAUACGGAGGGUGCGAGCGUUAAUCGGAAUAACUGGGCGUAAAGGGCACGCAGGCGGUUAUUUAAGUGAGGUGUGAAAGCCCCGGGCUUAACCUGGGAAUUGCAUUUCAGACUGGGUAACUAGAGUACUUUAGGGAGGGGUAGAAUUCCACGUGUAGCGGUGAAAUGCGUAGAGAUGUGGAGGAAUACCGAAGGCGAAGGCAGCUCCUUGGGAAUGUACUGACGCUCAUGUGCGAAAGCGUGGGGAGCAAACAGGAUUAGAUACCCUGGUAGUCCACGCUGUAAACGCUGUCGAUUUGGGGGUUGGGGUUUAACUCUGGCGCCCGUAGCUAACGUGAUAAAUCGACCGCCUGGGGAGUACGGCCGCAAGGUUA